rnacentral:rRNA from 1 species
GCCUUGCCCUAAACAAAAGUAGCAAAGUAUGUCUGCUACUCGCCCGGGAACUACGAGCAAAAGCUUAAAACCCAAAGGACUUGGCGGUGCUUUAGACCCACCUAGAGGAGCCUGUUCUGGAACCGAUAACCCCCGUUCAACCUCACCCUCUCUUGUUCCACCCGCCUAUAUACCGCCGUCGUCAGCUUACCCUGCAAAGGACACACAGUAAGCAUAAUUGGCAUAGCCCAAAACGUCAGGUCGAGGUGUAGCGUAUGAGAGGGGAAGAAAUGGGCUACAUUCCCUGACACAGUGUACACGAACGAUGUGAUGAAAUAAACAUCUAAAGGAGGAUUUAGCAGUAAGAAGGAAAGCAGAGCGUUCCUCUGAAAAUGGCCCUGAAGCGCGC